rnacentral:rRNA from 1 species
UGAGGAAUAUUGGACAAUGGAGGAAACUCUGAACCAGCCAAGUCGCGUGAAGGAUGACGGUCCUAUGGAUUGUAAACUUCUUUAGUAGGCGAGUAAGGAUAGGUACGUGUACCUAUUAGAAAGUAGCCUAAGAAUAAGUAUCGGCUAACUCCGUGCCAGCAGCCGCGGUAAUACGGAGGAUACGAGCGUUAUCCGGAUUUAUUGGGUUUAAAGGGUGCGUAGGUGGCUGAUUAAGUCAGUGGUGAAAAGCUAUGGCUCAACCAUAGUCUUGCCGUGGAUACUGGUUAGCUUGAGUGUAGAAGAUGUAGGCGGAACGUGUAGUGUAGCGGUGAAAUGCAUAGAUAUUACGCAGAACACCGAUUGCGAAGGCAGCGUACAAAACUACUACUGACACUGAGGCACGAAAGCGUGGGGAUCAAACAGG